rnacentral:rRNA from 1 species
UACGAAGGGGGCUAGCGUUGCUCGGAAUUACUGGGCGUAAAGCGCGCGUAGGCGGAUCUGCAAGUUGGGGGUGAAAUCCCGAGGCUCAACCUCGGAACUGCCUUCGAUACUGCGGGUCUCGAGUCCGGGAGAGGUGAGUGGAAUUCCUAGUGUAGAGGUGAAAUUCGUAGAUAUUAGGAAGAACACCAGUGGCGAAGGCGGCUCACUGGCCCGGUACUGACGCUGAGGUGCGAAAGCGUGGGGAGCAAACAGG